rnacentral:tRNA from 1 species
GCUGUUGUUGUGUAGUGGUUAUCACGUCAGUCUUACACACUGAAGGUCUCCAGUUCGAUCCUGGGCAGCAGUU